rnacentral:rRNA from 1 species
CUCAACGGAUAAAAGGUACUCCGGGGAUAACAGGCUGAUACCGCCCAAGAGUUCAUAUCGACGGCGGUGUUUGGCACCUCGAUGUCGGCUCAUCACAUCCUGGGGCUGAAGUAGGUCCCAAGGGUAUGGCUGUUCGCCAUUUAAAGUGGUACGCGAGCUGGGUUUAGAACGUCGUGAGACAGUUCGGUCCCUAUCUGCCGUGGGCGCUGGAGAAUUGAGGGGGGCUGCUCCUAGUACGAGAGGACCGGAGUGGACGCAUCACUGGUGUUCGGGUUGUCAUGCCAAUGGCACUGCCCGGUAGCUAAAUGCGGAAGAGAUAAGUGCUGAAAGCAUCUAAGCACGAAACUUGCCCCGAGAUGAGUUCUCCCUGACUCCUUGAGAGUCCUGAAGGAACGUUGAAGACGACGACGUUGAUAGGCCGGGUGUGUAAGCGCAGCGAUGCGUUGAGCUAACCGGUACUAAUGAACCGUGAGGCUUAACCUU